CGCUGGCGGCACGCCUAACACAUGCAAGUCGAACGAAGUAGCAAUACUUAGUGGCGAACGGGUGAGUAUAAUAUGGGUAUCUGCCUUUUGGUUUGGAAUAACACGGGGAAACUUGUGCUAAUACCGGAUAAGCCUUUACAGGGAAAGUUUUAACGCCAAAAGAUGAGCCCAUACUUGAUUAGCUUGUUGGUAAGGUAAUGGCUUACCAAGGCUACGAUCAAUAGCUGAUCUGAGAGGAUGAUCAGCCACAUUGGGACUGAGACACGGCCCAAACUCCUACGGGAGGCAGCAGUGGGGAAUCUUGCACAAUGGGGGAAACCCUGAUGCAGCGAUGCCGCGUGAGUGAAGAAGGCCUUUGGGUUGUAAAGCUCUUUCGUCGGGGAAGAAAAUGACUGUACCCGAAUAAGAAGGUCCGGCUAACUUCGUGCCAGCAGCCGCGGUAAUACGAAGGGACCUAGCGUAGUUCGGAAUUACUGGGCUUAAAGAGCUCGUAGGUGGUUAGAAAAGUUGGUGGUGAAAUCCCAAGGCUUAACCUUGGAACUGCCACCAAAACUUUUUGACUAGAGUAUGAUAGAGGUAAGUGGAAUUUCUAGUGUAGAGGUGAAAUUCGUAGAUAUUAGAAAGAACACCAAUUGCGAAGGCAACUUUCUGGAUCAUUACUGACACUGAGGAGCGAAAGCAUGGGUAGCGAAGAGGAUUAGAUACCCUCGUAGUCCAUGCUGUAAACGAUGUGUGCUAGACGUUGGAAAUUUUAUUUUCAGUGUCGCAGCAAAAGCAUUAAGCACACCGCCUGGGGAGUACGA
rnacentral:rRNA from 1 species